rnacentral:rRNA from 1 species
GACGAACCGUGCAAACGUUAUUCGGAAUCACUGGGCAUAAAGGGCGCGUAGGCGGCUUUCUAAGUCAGGGGUGAAAUCCGGCAGCUCAACUGUCGCAGUGCCUUUGAUACUGGAGAGCUCGAGGGAGGUAGGGGUCUGUGGAACUUCCGGUGGAGCGGUGAAAUGCGUUGAUAUCGGAAGGAACGCCGGUGGCGAGAGCGACGGACUGGAUCUCUUCUGACGCUGAGGCGCGAAAGCCAGGGGAGCAAACGGG